ACGAAGGGGGCAAGCGUUGUUCGGAAUUACUGGGCGUAAAGGGCGCGUAGGCGGCUUAUCAAGUCAGGCGUGAAAUUCCCGGGCUCAACCUGGGGGCUGCGUUUGAUACUGAUGAGCUUGAAUGCGGGAGAGGAUAGUGGAAUUCCCAGUGUAGAGGUGAAAUUCGUAGAUAUUGGGAAGAACACCGGUGGCGAAGGCGGCUAUCUGGCCCGUAAUUGACGCUGAGGCGCGAAAGCGUGGGGAGCAAACAGGA
rnacentral:rRNA from 1 species